UACCCAAUCCUAAUUCAGGGAGGUAGUGACAAGAAAUAACAACUCGGACCUCGUAUGAGGUUGCGAGAUUGCAAUGAGAACAAUUUAAACCACUUAUCGAGUAACAAUUGGAGGGCAAGUCUGGUGCCAGCAGCCGCGGUAAUUCCAGCUCCAAUAGCGUAUAUUAAAGUUGUUGCAGUUAAAAAGCUCGUAGUUGAAUUUCUGGCCGGCGCUGUUCUCGGCUCUCGCAGUCGGUUCAGGGCUUGGUCAUCCGUAUGGGAAGCUAGCUCGGCCUUCACUGGUCGGUUAGUGGAUCAUACACUUUACUUUGAAAAAAUUAGAGUGUUUCAGGCAGGCAAUUGCUUGGAUACUGCAGCAUGGAAUAAUGGAAUAGGACUUUGACCUAUUUGUUGGUUUCUUCGAGGUCAAAGUAAUGAUUAAUAGGGACAGUUGGGGGGCAUUCGUAUUUAAUUGUCAGAGGUGAAAUUCUUGGAUUUAUUAAAGACGAACUUAUGCGAAAGCAUUUUGCCC
rnacentral:rRNA from 1 species